rnacentral:rRNA from 1 species
GACGAACGCUGGCGGCGUGCUUAACACAUGCAAGUCGAACGGAAAGGCCCUGCUUUUGUGGGGUGCUCGAGUGGCGAACGGGUGAGUAACACGUGAGUAUCCUGCCCUUGACGUUGGGAUAACUUCAGGAAACUGGGGCUAAUACCGGAUAGGUGCUCCUGCUGCAUGGUGGGGGCUGGAAAGUUUCGGCGGUUGGGGAUGGACUCGCGGCUUAUCAGCUUGUUGGUGGGGUAGUGGCUUACCAAGGCUUUGACGGGUAGCCGGCCUGAGAGGGUGACCGGCCACAUUGGGACUGAGAUACGGCCCAGACUCCUACGGGAGGCAGCAGUGGGGAAUAUUGCACAAUGGGCGGAAGCCUGAUGAAGCAACGCCGCGUGCGGGAUGACGGCCUUCGGGUUGUAAACCGCUUUCGCCUGUGACGAAGCGUGAGUGACGGUAAUGGGUAAAGAAGCACCGGCUAACUACGUG